UGCAUUUGCAACCUGAGCUCAGACGUGAUUACCCGCUGAACUUAAGCAUAUCAUUUAGCGGAGGAAAAGAAACUAACUAGGAUUCCUUAUACG
rnacentral:rRNA from 2 species